CAGGAUACUUUGGAACAGCUGUUCAGAAUCUUGCGACAGAUGUCUGGCACAAACGACCAUCCAACACCCGUGCAGUAUUUACUAUCGAAUAAUACACUGGAAUUCUUGAAUUUGGCGAAGAGCUCUGCUUCUGAAAACGGGUCUUCUGGCUUGCUGAGCAGCCUUCUUAGUGUAAACGACUUUAAGGAGCGAGUGACAAAAAAAAAAAAAUAGAAGUGCGUCGACGACCUCUUAGACAUUGGGAAGCAGUGCUCAGUGCCUGUGAAAUUUACCACAGCUGCAAGGCAACAGAAAGAAGUGACACCAGGCUGAUCUUUUUUUUAUGUAGCCAUCUAUGUGGCCUGGAAAUUUGUGGCAAAAGCAAGGUGUACAGAAUGCUGUACUGCGUUGCUCACACCAAUAGGAUGCCCCCUUCCUCCAGAGUCAUUGCUCGCAGUUCACGUGAACUUGUGUGGGCUGACGUUUCCGUCCGAUAGUCUGACGAAGCUGGUGACGUCCCUUGAAGAUAAAUUCAUGCACUGUUUGAGUGCAAAUGUGCUUCCUCCAGUUGUAGCCUCCAGGAGUGGUCGGCUGUGAGCAACACAAAUUUGAACUUACCAACAAAAUUAUCAAAUUUUAUUCCAUAGCUCACUCACUUUCUUGUAAAGAGCAGGAACUUGGCAUCUGGACGCACAGGAGAAAAGAAAAAGCGCCUAAAAUUACAUGUCUCGUGACCGCAGCGAUGCAGUGCUUUACUUUUGGGACUAAACCUUGCUUGUUGUUGGAGUUUUUGGUAGUGUUGUUGGUGCACAUGUGUGCGCUCGAAGAAUGAGUAUUGCGUUAAAAGAUUCGUAUAUGAUACGUGAUGAUCAAGAGGCAUAAGUAUUGUUUUACAUUCUAUAAGCGGCAGCUAGUCUACUUAUAACAGAGAUUUAUUGCACUCGUAUAGCUACCUCAUGUAAACACAUACAACAGUGCAACGAAAUUAAACUAGAAACUCUGGUUGUUUGAAUCUUAAUAUUUAUUUGACGGCGUUUUAUGUUCAAUAAAACCAAAACAAUCCUGCAACACGAUCUCUGGAGAAAGCAUACUCGGUGCGCAAAUGAUGACACCCUAGGGCUCCUGUAUACAGUGGAACUUCGAUAAUACGUACCCCGGUUAUGCGACAACCCGCAUUUUACGACUAAUUGGUUUGGUCCCGGCAAAAUGCCCAUAGACAUAAUGUAUUAACGGCGAUUAUAUGACGCAAUUUUACGCUGACCCGCCUCUGGUACUGUCCGGGAAAAGAAAACUCAGCAGAUGCAGGCUGGCAUGUAAGCACACAGCAGGCUGCUGACAACGGGUGUGCAAUGCCGUACUUACCCGAUUGUAACGCGAAGGGGGACUUUCCAGUCACGCAAAAUAAAGAAAAUAAAACUGCUAAUGUGAUGCGAGAUGAACGGAAAGAGAAAUGGCACCUUUAUUGAAGGAAUUGCAAUUCGGAAACGUUCUCUUCACUCAUAAUAGUCGUCUGAAGAGGAGACGGAGCUUUCCUUGGGCGGUCUUCUCUGGCAGUCACUUUCAUAGAUAGUUUCACUUUUGCGAAAUUUCGCAUGACUCGACACUGAAAGCGUCCCCGACAAGUGUUUCUGGCGCUGGACUUAAGCUCACCGUCAGCGCCAAGAGAGCUGUCGGCAGUAUACUUCGAGGGUGCCGGGACGAGCUGCGUCUUGCGAAAGCGAAACUAUCUCCAAAAGUGAUCGCCCGAGAAUUGUCAUAUUCUGUGCCGUCGAGCUUGUUUGAGAUUUAAGUACUCCUUAAAAGACCACACAAUCAUUUCAUUCGGGGUCAUACCAAGCCACUUGCACAGAGCUUUCCCGACUGGUCUUGCAAUUUAAAGUGGGCCUGCCGCUGGUCCCGCCAUCUGCAAAUCGUCGACGUCGAGACACCAAACCGCUCCUCGGUCAUCAAAAUUGCUCGUUUCUCGAAGCGACCAUCAUACCGAAUGUGCUGCGUCGCCAUAACGUCGUGAAUGAAUGGAGUCGAACCGCAAAAGGUCAUAGGAUAUUGCGCCGUCAUAACCAGUCAAAAGCACAGAAAACAGCUUCGAUUCCAACCAAAAACAAGUUCCAACUACGUUCGGCUUGUCUAUGGACCGAAUCGAGACGUAAAGUUGCAGGUAGCCAACGUAACGCUAAACAUCGCAGUAUUUAGAAUAUUUGAUUUAAAAGGGUCAAUUUUACCGUUAUUUGAAUGUAAGGCGAGGGUCAAGUUCAUGCAACGAAAAUCAUGAAAAGAAAAAAAACUCGUUAUUGAAUAAAUGCGGUAAUUUUUUAAUAAUUUAAUCAACCUUCCUUGGAAGCAGUGCAGGUUCGGGCCGCGGGCUUAUUCAGGCGGUCUGUACCCGUUCUUUGGACAAGACUGAGCGCCACUGCAGAUAUUCUCUUAUUUUGAUUAUACGACACCCGGAUUAUAUGACCGUCUUGCGUGGUCCCUACAAGGUCGUAUAAUCGGGGUUCCACUGUAUGUACUGUCUCAAUUUUCGCCUCUCUCGCUUUAGAACUCCCGCAAAGCUAUUACUUUGGUUCAGAAUUAGUGGCCUUAUUAAUAGGCUUACGUAAAAGGUCUUUACAAUUCUCAACACAGUUAACAGUUCUAUAAUUUUUACCUCUUAAGCCUGGAAAGAGGCAGCUGACAGAUGCCAUUCAAAUAACUCACAUGCAUUGAUAAAAUUGGUAGCUGUCUCUGAUGUCAUAUAAAGACAGCUUCCAGUUUAAAUACAUGGAUAAAUGCGCGAAAGUUCCACUGUAAAACGGCCGCAGCAGCAGCCGACACGCGCCGCCUGCGGCAGGCCUCUGAUCACAGUGCCAAUCUUGUCGUCAUGACGUGGAGAAGUGCUGAACUACGCUUAACGCCCACUGCAUCACACACCCAUCUAGCGACCGUACCUGCACGUUUGCUGCACUUUGGUCGUAAGUGAGUAUGUGAAGAAGCCAGACACACCAAAAAUUUGAUGAAAAAAACAAACAAACAUUCAACUCAUAUUUGUAAUUUUAGGAACAUUCGCAUAUCCCCAACAUCAGAUUAUGCUGAGAUGUGUACAUAUUUUUUCAUUUAACAUAUUGACAGAAACUAAUUGAAAUUGUUUCAUACCUCCUUGGAGUUGAACAGAGGCAGUGCAAUUAGUUCAGUUCUCUGGUACUUAUGCUUGUCAUUUGUGUCUGAGGGCCCCGUUUUGCUGAAAAUCAGGUGUCGGCGGUGUUGUCUGUCAGAAAAAAUCAUCCUUAACCACAACCACGCGGACCCUCCGCAUGGCGCAUAGGGGUUACUGAACUGUACUGAACAUUACUAAAAAUGUAUCGGAGAAAAAAGCUCCAUGAUGAAAAUGAAGACCCUAGUGAUCUGUUACUUACAAUAAAGAAGUCACGUGCCAACUGCUAAAAGGAAUAUUUCAAGAUAACAACCUCAGAACAUUGGUAUAUUACCAAUAUUACCGAAGGGUAGUGCUGCAUUUUAAGGGUGCAUUGCAUACUGUUUUGUGAAAGGUGCAUUAAGGAGUAGCAGCAUGGUGCUUUGCAGGGCUAACAUGUUUUUCUUAUGCAUGUGACUGCCUUUUGCACUGAUGCACAUGGAGUGCUUUUUUUUUCUGUUAUGGGGUGCUUUUCUUUUUUAAUUGUUAGCAGAAUUUUGAAAAAUCAGCCAUGGCACUGAGCACAAUUCGGCUUCUUGAGCUAGAUUAACCACAGAGGCAGACAAUAUUUGCAUGAGAAAUGAAAAUGAAUAUUUGACUAAUAACAAAGCUUGACUAAUCAACUUUUAAACUAAUUACUUUAUGGCACAUAUUGCAAUUUGCAAAUUGUAGCCCAAUACUUCAAAGUCAAAGUCAUAUCCACUUGGAUAUGUUCUGAGGAUUACUUCUGAGAAUAAUUUCUGAGGUCGAGACCAGUUUCAAGAUAUGCCUUCUGCUACAAAAUGCAUUGGUGUUCUCGUAACUUUUGAGCUUCAAAGCAUAAAGAGGCCUUUGGGGAAGGAAGCAAAUGGAACAACAGUGCAUUUUUACUGCAGGUUUGACAGCGCUUCUCUCAAAACUGGUGGUAGUUUCAAGAUUCAUUCCAAGUGGAUGAGCCUUGUGAAAUGACAGGUUUUUAAUUCGAGCAUUGCAAUCAUCAUCAGCCUAUAUUUAUGUCCACUGCAGGACGAAGGCCUCUUCCUGUGAUCUCCAAUUACUCCUGUCUCGCGCUAGCUGAUUCCAACUUGCACCUGCAAAUUUCCCAAUUUCAUCACCCCACCUAGUUUUCUGCCGUCCUCGACUGCGUUUCCCUUCUCUUGGUAUCCAUUCAGUAACCCUAAUGGUCCACUGGUUAUCCAUCCUCUGCAUUACAUGGCCUGCCCAGCUCCAUUUUUUCCGUUUAAUGUCAAUUAGAAUAUCGGUUAUCCCCGUUUGCUCUCUGAUCCACACCGCUUUCUUCCUGUCUGUUAGGCCUAAAAUUUUUCAUUCAUCGCUCUUUGUUAUAACCUCCAAGUUUCUGCCCCAUAUGUUAGCACCGGUAGAAUGCAAUGAUUGUUAACUUGUUCUCGAGCUUCUUUGUUAUAACCUCCAAGUUUCUGCCCCAUAUGUUAGCACUGGUAGAAUGCAAUGAUUGUACACUUUUCUUUCAAUGACAGUGGUAAUCUCCCAGUCAGGAUUUGGUAAUGCCUGUCAUAUGCACUCCAGCCCAAUUUUAUUAUAUAAAUUUCUUUCUCAUGAUCAGGGUCCCCUGUGAGUAAUUGACCUAUAUAAAAGGACUCCUUUACAGACUCUAGAGGCUGACUGGCGAUCCUGAAUUCUUGUACUCUUGCCAGGCUAUUGAACAUUAUGUUAGUCUUCUGCAUAUUAAUAUUCAACCCCACUCUUACACUUUCUCGGUUAAGUUCCUCAAUCAUUUGCUGUAACUCGUCCCCAUUGUUGCUGAAUAGGGCAAUGCCAUCUGAAAACCGAAGGUUGCUGAGAUAUUCGCCGUUGAUCCUCACUUCUAAGCCUUCCCAGUCUAAGAGCUUGAAUACUUUUUCUAAGCAUGCAGUCAAUAGCAUCGGAGAGAUUGAGUCUCUUUGCCUGACCCCUUUCGUGAUAGGUAACUUUCUACUUUUCUUUUGGAGAGCCAAGGUUGUUGUGCAAUCUUUGUAGGUAUUUGCCAAUAUAUUCAUGUAUGCCUCCUGUACUCUUUGAUUACGCAAUGCCUCUAUGACUGCUGGUAUCUCUAUUGAAUCAAAUGUUUUUUUCAUAAUCUAUGGAAGCCAUGUAGAGAGGUUGAUAUAGAGAGGUAGAGAGCCUUGCAAUAUGUGCUCAAUAUGUGCUCCUAAAUAAUUUUUAAAAUGUUUUAGUGAAAUUUUGUUAAUUACUCAAUUAUGCGUUUAGAUUUCCAGUAUAAAUAACAGCAGCCUGUAUUGCAAUAUGUGCUCUUAGGUAACUCGUUCUAAAAUUUAUUGCUGAAACAUUGUUAAUUACACAAUUAUGCAUUUAUGUUAUCAGUGUAAAUAAUGGCAGCCUCUUCGAGUAAUCCGCUCGAUGAGUAGAUUUGUGCGAUAUGCCACAGGCAUUUUUUUAAAUCUCUUAACGUUAGAAGAAAAAAAAACUACGGCUGUAUAGGCGUGUUCUUUGCAUGACACUCCAGCCUACCUUCAUUAAUUAGUAGUUUUGGGGAAAAGGAAAUUGUAAGCUUCUGCACUAGAGGCAUGAUCCACUUUUGUUUCCAAUGUGGAAACAUUGUGCACGGAUGGCUAGACUGUUACUCACAAUUUUUUUCUAAUCAUCCCAUUCGCAGAAUUUAGUCAUAUGCCCCUUAAAGGCAUGCAGAGAAGGAAGUGGCAUGCUGUCAUAGUUCAUUCCUCGCUGUUGCCUCCUUUCCAUUCCUCUCUUUUUCAAUGAUUCAGUUUUCGCAGCAAAGACAACCUGAGUUCCUUCUGCUGAUAAAUUCAAGUUCACUGUGUCAUGUUUUGUGCGUCUGGGGUAUUCCUGCCACCUGGCAGUGUGUGUCCAGCUGUGUCGACAUUGCAGAAAAGAAUUUUACUGAAACAAGUUGUAGUAGUCAUGAAAAGCCUCUAGGUUCAGGGAAAUGCCAUGACCCACUAGUGACCUAUUCAUAGGUUAUGGCAUACUUGAAGCACGUGUUAUGUGAACUGCUGGCAUGUCAUGCCACACAAUAGCCAGGGCUUUAAAGAGAUCCCACAGUGAAUGUGUUACAUAGUUCCUGUUGGCAUCAGAAAGCCUGUAUCAAAGUUAAUGUGUGAUUAGAGGUGUUGCAACCCGACCUAAUUGCUCCACUGUUCGUAGAUUGCUGUUAUGCAAGUGUUCUCUUGGGACAAUGAGCGUCGCAUAUGGAUAGAUGGAGGAAGAGAAGAAGUAGGGAGUUGGACGACAAUGGUUGGUGUACAGGUACUGGGUAACUAUUGCUUGGUCCUCUAUUAUUCUGAAAACCAAGGCUGACCAACGAAGAUGAUCUCUAGCGUACUUUUUAUGGCAGUGCGCACUCUGUGCCUCAAGAAUGGGUUGAUCAAAAUGCUUGCACGGGCGUAUAGUGUCAUCGAUUCCAUGGCCGACCACAGUUGUACUACUCUAGGUCUGUUGUGCUCAGUGAUCUGUUUGCUUUACACAACUAUGAAGUGUGUGUGUACUUGUAUAUUUGUAUAGUAUUUCCAAACUCCUUAAUGUGGAGGAUGUCUGUGGCAUAUGCUUAUAUUUGUGUGCCUGUACUCAUGAUGGGGGGGCAUUACGACAAAGAUGGGGCAUGAUUCUUUGGGUCCUGGAUUGCCCCUGCCAUUAGUGUUGACAGUUCUUGCUUGAAGGUUGCUGGGUGACUGUUUUCGUGUGCGUGUAUUGUGUUGUGCUAGGUUGUGUGUGUGCCAGACAACAACGCAGUGGUGUUGGAUUUGAACUCGGCAGGGGCAUUCCUGCCAUAGACGGGCAUGCUCGUUAGAGUCUGUAACAGGAAAUCUGUGGAGCAAGACAGACACGAGUGCUAAGUUACCUGAUAAAGCCAUCCAAAUAGUGCCCUGCCGAUUCAAGAUUCAUAGAGCUCCAUAAAUGUGGCGUAGUAGUUUAGUAGCAUACUGCAGUAUGCAUCCGGAGGUAACUGAAGAUCUAGUUGGCAUGCCACUGGCCUUGGGCGAUAAUAAAGAGUUGAAUAAACUCGCGAUGAAGAUUAAAAACUGUCCGGAGGAUCGGUGGCAUAGGGGUAGGGAACUAGCACAAUCUAAAGGCAUUAGUUUUUUAAUGAAUUGAAGUUUGAGAGUUUGAUGAUUUUUUAACGCAAGCUACAGACCUUAAGUGCGGAUAGUUAACACAGCAAAUGAUUAACAUAAUCUUGGUGAUGCUAGCCACCUCAUGUAUCAAAGGGGAUGGUCACAAAAAUUCAUCCAACCCCUCCCUAGCUCUAGGCGCCACAGUGGGCUUGUCAUGCUUUCUUCCAGCUGCAAAUAAUGUGCUGGCAGUUGUAAAUGAAAUGCAUUUCACGCGAUCCCUGCCAGCUCUCACGAUGUUAACACAAUCCAUCUGGCUGAUGGGCACCGUUUGCUCUUGCGCAUUAGUCCUUUUUUUUUUUUUGCUAAAGCGCGGAAGUACUCAGUGCUUUUUGCCGAUGUUCCUACGUAACACUUGUUUUGGUUACCAUCAGAUACACGUGGUGACGACACACUCUCAGGCAAAUAUAAAGUCCCUUGAUCGGUGUGUCUUCGGCAGCUUUGCUGGUCAGCGGAAAAUGCCAUGGAGCAGCUCUAAGACAAAGGACAGGAAUCUAGGGCAUUGGCUACUAUGAGCCACGCACGCUGGUGCCACGCUCUCAGCCACCUAAGGAGCCUUCAUUUAUACACACUCGAGUGCUGUUUGAGGGUGGUGACAUUUACAGGAGUUAUGGAAAUUUGCCACCAAAUUUGGCAGACCAUCAUUUUGAUUCUCGGUUCGAGCGGAAGGCGCUUUACUAUCUCUUAUGUUACAUGCUGACAUGUGCUGAUGAUGGCAUGCAGUUAGUCUUCUAAUACGCGCAAGAAACAUGUAAAUGCCUUCAAUAGUUACGUUGGCAUCUUCCUUUAUUUGAACAUAAAAAAUUUAUUUACAAUUGUGUGUUGCACGAGACGCUGAAAGCAACAAGUUCUGGAGGAUAGUGCAUAGUGGCAUGCGUUUCGUUACAUCAUCUUGCAUCAAGAACGUUAAGUGCAUUAAGCCCUGCUUUUGCUCUUGCUUUUAAUGUGUUUUACGCAGUUUUUGGUAAUAAAGAAUCCUCGUAUUAAUCUGUUCAACUAUGUUAUAUUUUCUUAUUCAUCUGUUCAACUAUGCUAUAUUUUCUUGGUGGCUGGGAGCGAAGUGCAUUGAAUAAAUCAAAGUAAUUGCACGGCACAAACGAUCCUGAGCAGCAUGGCUGUCUUGGACAUGAUCUGGGUGGACUCUUGACAGACUGCCAGUUUGAUUCUCACAUCGCUAAAUUUAGUGGAAACUUUUGUACAGCAUAUUUAGCAAGUGGCAGCAUGUACCCUUUCAUAGGCUGACACCACCCUAAAACAGGGCAUAGGCAUGGGAACUCUUAGCGCUAGCUAGAGUAGGGAGGCAGUUGUGAGUCUCUUUCUUAUGUGCCGUCAUUCACCGAGAGCUGUCACAUGCAACUCCAAAAUUAACAGAAAAGCUAACUCGACAGCUACACUACCCAUGCUGUGCUGGUUUUCGCGCUGUUGAGAGCACCAACACUUAAAUUACUGUUUGUCAUGUUCAAUCAUCCCACAAUGGUCUUGCCUUACAAUUCACAGUAAUUUAGAGAAAUAGAGUCAUGGUCAGGGCUCUGCAAAAGUAAGACUGCGCCUGUUUGUUGCGUCACUAUUGAGGGCACACGCACAAAAGUUUCUCCCUUGUACAUUGCCUCAUUUUCAGUGUAUUCAGCAGAGACUACGAUCACAAGUAUGAUGUGUCUCAAAUUAACCAUGUGAAGCAUUCUUUGGCACAUUGCAGGCACUUUGAAAUAGGUUCCCGUCUCGCAUCGUUUUGGGCCUUUUAAUGAAAAAAGUAUGCGAGGGUGGAAUUGAACAUUGGUCUCUGAGCAGAACAGCCUCAUGAUCAGUGGGUCUAACCAUAUAAGAGGGAGUGACGUAUGAGAGGAAAAGAUUCUAUUUUCUGCAGCCCUUAAGGGAUCACGGCUCAGCGCCAUGAUCAAUUUUGCACAUACUUAUCACGUACCAACGUGAUCUAGCUCGUUAAGAUGACUGGUGCGUGCAUCACAUUGCACAGUACAAGCAAGAGCAACUUCUCUUAUGCACCAGUUUCCAUCCAGCCAGUCUUACCGUUGUCUCUCGUGUGCAUCACGUUACACAUACAAGUUGCUUAUAAAAGCGAGAGCGUGCCAAUUUCUCUCAUUCUUCCCUUGGGGGCUAGUGCUUUGAGAUGUGUUAGACUGCUCUGCCUUCGGGAAUUGCCCAAAUUCUCCAGUCCUCCCCACAUACAUACCUCCCCACUUUACAUAGAUUCCAAUAGGUGCGUUGGACCUGUAUUUUUUUGUAUGCUGUACUGUCUGUACAGCGAUGCGCAGAUUUAGUGCUAACAGCUGCAGAGUCCAAAAGGGGGUGGAGAGAAUUUUACAAAGGCCCGAAGAAGAGGGGAAUGUAGCAGUGGAAAAGGGCAUUGUAGAAAGCUAGGUGCAGCAUGAUUGAAUACACCAGAUGCAUUUUGAGGUGGGCAAGUCAUCACUCCUGUCGUGUCUUGCUCCCUGGUGUAGGCGCUCCCUACACUGCUUAGAAGAUUUAAAGCGCACCCAGUGUGUGUGUGUGUGUGUGUGUGUGUGUGUGUGUGUGUGUGUGUGUGUGUGUGUGUGUGUGUGUGUGUGUGUGUGUGUGUGUGUGUGUGUGUGCGCGUGUGUGUGUGUGUUACCUUUAAAGUAUUUUUAAUACUGGCGUUGGCAGCAAAUGCAUAUUGUUGAAGCAGUGAAGAAUAAACGAGUACCUGUUUCACUUA